AGGGCACCACCAGGAGUGGAGCCCGCGGCUUAAUUUGACUCAACACGGGAAAACUCACCCGGCCCGGACACUGGAAGGAUUGACAGACUGAGAGCUCUUUCUUGAUUCAGUGGGUGGUGGUGCAUGGCCGUUCUUAGUUGGUGGAGUGAUUUGUCUGGUUAAUUCCGAUAACGAACGAGACUCUAGCCUAUUAAAUAGAUCGUUGGCUUACAAACGCCGGCGAGACUUCUUAGAGGGACAGGCGGCGAUUCAGCCGCACGAAACAGAGCAAUAACAGGUCUGUGAUGCCCUUAGAUGUCCGGGGCCGCACGCGCGCUACACUGAAGUGAUCAGCGUGCAUUUUGAAACCUACUCUGUCAAGAGUGGGGAACCCAAUGAACCUUCUUCGUGAUUGGGAUAGGGGAUUGUAAUUAUUCCCCUUGAACGAGGAAUUCCCAGUAAGCGCGAAUCAUAAGUUUGCGCUGAUUACGUCCCUGCCCUUUGUACACACCGCCCGUCGCUACUACCGAUUGAAUGUUU
rnacentral:rRNA from 1 species